rnacentral:misc_RNA from 1 species
GAUGAAGAACGUAGUGAAAUGCGAUAAUUAAUGUGAAUUGCAGAAUUCAGUGAAUCAUCGAGUCUUUGAACGCACAUUGCGCCCCCUGGUAUUCCGGGGGGCAUGCCUGUCCGAGCGUCAUUGCUGCCCUCAAGCACGGCUUGUGUGUUGGGCUUCCGUCCCUGGCAACGGGGACGGGCCCAAAAGGCAGUGGCGGCACCAUGUCUGGUCCUCGAGCGUAUGGGGCUUUGUCACCCGCUCCCGUAGGUCCAGCUGGCAGCUAGCCUCGCAACCAAUCUUUUUAACCAGGUUGACCUCGGAUCAGGUUGGGAUACCCGCUGAACUUAAGCAUAUCAAUAAGCGGAGGA